rnacentral:rRNA from 1 species
AUCGAACGCUAGCGGGAUGCUUUACACAUGCAAGUCGAACGAGUGGCGGACGGGUGAGUAAUAUAUCGGAACGUGCCCAGUAGCGGGGGAUAACUACUCGAAAGAGAGGCUAAUACCGCAUCUUAUUGGAGCGGUCGAUAUCCGAUUAGCUAGCUGGUGGGGUAAAGGCGCACCAAGGCAACGAUCCGUAGCUGGUUUGAGACGUCGACCUGCCAGACGGGGACUGAGGACCGGCCCUGACUCCUACGAGAAGCAGCAGUGGGGAAUUUUGGAGGAUGGGGAGAACCCUGAUCCAGCCAUGCCGCGUGUAUGAGAAGGCCUUCGGGUUGUAGAGUGCUUUUGGCAGAGAAGCGGUAUCUGCAGAAUAAGCACCGGCUAACUACGUGCCAGCCGCCGCGGUAAUAC